AGUGAUUUUACAGUCAGGCUGGGAUUUGAACCAAGGAUCCUCUGGUCUCAAGCCCAACGCUUUAACCACAAGACAUCACCUCCCCUGUUUCAUCUCAGAUACGGAUUAAAACGAUGUUUAAAGUCGCUUUCACUUAACAAGAACAAGACGUAUUAUCGUUAAACAAGUCAUUAUAUCAUUUACUGAAAUUGACUUGUAAACUCUUUUUUUUUUACAUUAAGUGUAGAUUAUAUACGUUGACACAAAAUGAGACAGUUAUACUUGGCAAGAUUUUUCAUUUUUGCAGUGCAGAUAUGAGGAACCUGUGAUAGGACAGACUGAGUCAGUAAAUUGUGUCUGUGAGCAGUGUGAGGUUGUGAAAUCUCUGAUGUGCAUUUUACUUGUUUGUGCCUCACAAUUAAAGUGCCAUACAACUCAAAAUACAUGGUAUACUAUUUUUAAAGUAAAUUAGUUUCCUUUAAUUAAAACUGAGAAUCAUUGUGUUUUAAUGUAGGUCAGUGCACUUCCCGCUUUCCUCCAAAUGCAGGAAAGGGUGGGAGACAAAAAAAAUUAUAAGAAUAAGUAAUUAAAAAUAAAUGAAAUAUGUAUGCUCAGAAAGGA